rnacentral:rRNA from 1 species
AGUGAACGCUGGCGGUAGGCCUAACACAUGCAAGUCGAACGGCAGCACAGUAAGAGCUUGCUCUUACGGGUGGCGAGUGGCGGACGGGUGAGGAAUACAUCGGAAUCUACUUUUUCGUGGGGGAUAACGUAGGGAAACUUACGCUAAUACCGCAUACGACCUACGGGUGAAAGCAGGGGAUCUUCGGACCUUGCGCGAUUGAAUGACCCGAUGUCGGAUUAGCUAGUUGGCGGGGUAAAGGCCCACCAAGGCGACGAUCCGUAGCUGGUCUGAGAGGAUGAUCAGCCACACUGGAACUGAGACACGGUCCAGACUCCUACGGGAGGCAGCAGUGGGGAAUAUUGGACAAUGGGCGCAAGCCUGAUCCAGCCAUACUGCGUGGGUGAAGAAGGCCUUCGGGUUGUAAAGCCCUUUUGUUGGGAAAGAAAAGCAGCAGGUUAAUACCCCGCUGUUCUGACGGUACCCAAAGAAUAAGCACCGGCUAACUUCGUG